rnacentral:rRNA from 1 species
CUAGGCUUGACAUCCUAGUGAAAUCCCCUGGAAACAGGGGCCCUCCUUCGGGACUCUAGGACAGGUGCUGCAUGGCUGUCGUCAGCUCGUGUCGUGAGAUGUUGGGUUAAGUCCCGCAACGAGCGCAACCCUUGCCCUAUGUUACCAGCGGUUCGGCCGGGGACUCAUAGGGGACUGCCGGUGAUAAACCGGAGGAAGGUGGGGACGACGUCAAGUCCUCAUGGCCCUUACGCCUAGGGCUACACACGUGCUACAAUGGCCGACACAAAGGGCUGCAAACUCGCGAGAGUGAGCGAAUCCCAAAAAGUCGGUCUAAGUUCGGAUUGCAGUCUGAAACUCGACUGCAUGAAGGCGGAAUCGCUAGUAAUCGUGGAUCAGCUAUGCCACGGUGAAUACGUUCCC